AUACGGAGGGUGCAAGCGUUACUCGGAAUCACUGGGCGUAAAGCGCGCGCAGGCGGUCUUUUAAGUUGGAUGUGAAAGCCUACGGCUCAACCGUAGAACUGCAUCCAAAACUAUUAGACUAGAGUGUGGGAGAGGAAGAUGGAAUUAGUUGUGUAGGGGUAAAAUCCGUAGAGAUAACUAGGAAUACCAAAAGCGAAGGCAAUCUUCUGGAACACUACUGACGCUGAGGCGCGAAAGCGUGGGGAGCAAACGGGAUUAGAAACCCCUGUAGUCC
rnacentral:rRNA from 1 species